GUCGAACGGAAACGAUGGAGCUUGCUCCAGGCGUCGAGUGGCGGACGGGUGAGUAACGCAUGGGAAUCUGCCUUUUGCUGGGGGAUAACGUAGGGAAACUUACGCUAAUACCGCAUAAGACCUAAGGGUGAAAGCGGGGGACCGAAAGGCCUCGCGGCAAGAGAUGAGCCCAUGUUGGAUUAGCUAGUUGGUGGGGUAAAGGCCUACCAAGGCGACGAUCCAUAGCUGGUCUGAGAGGAUGAUCAGCCACACUGGGACUGAGACACGGCCCAGACUCCUACGGGAGGCAGCAGUGGGGAAUAUUGGACAAUGGGGGGAACCCUGAUCCAGCAAUGCCGCGUGUGUGAAGAAGGCCUUCGGGUUGUAAAGCACUUUCAGUAGGGAGGAAAGGUGCGUAGUUAAUACCUGCGCAAUUGACGUUACCUACAGAAGAAGCACCGGCUAACUCCGUGCCAGCAGCCGCGGUAAUACGGAGGGUGCGAGCGUUAUUCGGAAUUACUGGGCGUAAAGCGCACGCAGGCGGUUGCCCAAGUCAGAUGUGAAAGCCCCGGGCUUAACCUGGGAACUGCAUUUGAAACUGGGCGACUAGAGUAUGAAAGAGGAAAGCGGAAUUUCCAGUGUAGCAGUGAAAUGCGUAGAUAUUGGAAGGAACACCGAUGGCGAAGGCAGCUUUCUGGGUCGAUACUGACGCUCAUGUGCGAAAGCGUGGGGAGCAAACAGGAUUAGAUACCCU
rnacentral:rRNA from 1 species